rnacentral:rRNA from 1 species
GAACCGUCCAAACGUUUAUUCGGAAUUACUGGGCUUAAAGGGUGCGUAGGCGGCAUAGUAAGUUGGGUGUGAAAUCCCUCGGCUCAACCGAGGAACUGCGCCCAAAACUACUAUACUUGAGGGAGACAGAGGUAAGCGGAACUGAUGGUGGAGCGGUGAAAUGCGUUGAUAUCAUCAGGAACACCAGUGGCGAAAGCGGCUUACUGGGUCUCUUCUGACGCUGAGGCACGAAAGCCAGGGGAGCGAACGGGAUUAGAUACCCCGGUAGUCCUGGCUGUAAACGAUGAGCACUUGGUCGAAGACUCCCUCCCAUAGGUUUUCGGCCGUAGCGAAAGUGUUAAGUGCUCCGCCUGGGGAGUAUGGUCGCAAGGCUG